rnacentral:rRNA from 1 species
UACAGAGGAUCCGAGCGUUAUCCGGAUUUAUUGGGUUUAAAGGGUGCGUAGGCGGCCUAUUAAGUCAGGGGUGAAAGACGGUAGCUCAACUAUCGCAGUGCCCUUGAUACUGAUGGGCUUGAAUGUACUAGAGGUAGGCGGAAUGUGACAAGUAGCGGUGAAAUGCAUAGAUAUGUCACAGAACACCAAUUGCGAAGGCAGCUUACUAUGGUAUUAUUGACGCUGAGGCACGAAAGCGUGGGGAUCAAACAGG